CGCUGGCGGCACGCCUAACACAUGCAAGUCGAACGAAGUAGCAAUACUUAGUGGCAGACGGGUGAGUAACAUGUAGGUAUCUGCCCUUUGGCCUGGAAUAACACGAGGAAACUUGUGCUAAUACCGGAUAAGUCUUUACGGAGAAAGCUUUAUGCACCAUUGGAUGAGCCUGCACUUGAUUAGUUUGUUGGUGGGGUAAUGGCCUACCAAGACUGUGAUCAAUAGCUGAUUUGAGAGGAUGAUCAGCCACAUUGGGACUGAGACACGGCCCAAACUCCUACGGGAGGCAGCAGUGGGGAAUCUUGCACAAUGGAGGAAACUCUGAUGCAGCGAUGCCGCGUGAGUGAAGAAGGCCCUUGGGUUGUAAAGCUCUUUCGUCGGGGAAGAAAAUGACUGUACCCGAAUAAGAAGGUCCGGCUAACUUCGUGCCAGCAGCCGCGGUAAUACGAAGGGACCUAGCGUAGUUCGGAAUUACUGGGCUUAAAGAGUUCGUAGGUGGUUGAAAAAGUUGGUGGUGAAAUCCCAGAGCUUAACUCUGGAACUGCCAUCAAAACUUUUCAGCUAGAGUAUGAUAGAGGAAAGCAGAAUUUCUAGUGUAGAGGUGAAAUUCGUAGAUAUUAGAAAGAAUACCAAUUGCGAAGGCAGCUUUCUGGAUCAUUACUGACACUGAGGAACGAAAGCAUGGGUAGCGAAGAGGAUUAGAUACCCUCGUAGUCCAUGCCGUAAACGAUGUGUGUUAGACGUUGGAAAUUUAUUUUCAGUGUCGCAGCGAAAGCGAUAAACACACCGCCUGGGGAGUACG
rnacentral:rRNA from 1 species